UGGUAAGCACAGGAAUCAACAAAGAGAUGUUAUAUAACUUCUAUUUAUAUCCUCCUUGCUCACUA
rnacentral:sRNA from 1 species